CCAGACUCCUACGGGAGGCAGCAGUGGGGAAUAUUGCACAAUGGGGGAAACCCUGAUGCAGCGACGCCGCGUGGGUGAAGGAGUGCUUCGGCAUGUAAAGCCCUAUCGGCAGGGAAGAAGCAAGACGGUACCUGACUAAGAAGCCCCGGCUAACUACGUGCCAGCAGCCGCGGUAAUACGUAGGGGGCAAGCGUUAUCCGGAUUCACUGGGUGUAAAGGGAGCGUAGACGGCGACGCAAGUCUGGAGUGAAAGCCCGGGGCCCAACCCCGGGACUGCUCUUGGAACUGCGUGGCUGGAGUGCAGGAGGGGCAGGCGGAAUUCCUGGUGUAGCGGUGAAAUGCGUAGAUAUCAGGAGGAACACCGGUGGCGAAGGCGGCCUGCUGGACCGUGACUGACGUUGAGGCUCGAGAGCGUGGGGAGCAAACAGGAUUAGAUACCCGCGUAA
rnacentral:rRNA from 1 species